CCGUGGUGGUUGGUUUGGUUUUUUUUUUUGCUUUUGGUUUUUCUGUUUGCAAAAGAAGAAAUUGGGGGAAGCCGCUGCAACUUGACCGGCUGGGAGAAACAAAGGCAAUCACACAGCAUUUGUCAAUCUUCAACACUUCAUUGUGGCGAUUCAUUGCUGUGCUACAGCAAACUGAAGGUGAUAGACAAACUCUGAUUCCAAAGCACUGUUGUGACUCCAACUCCCGAGCCCAUCUUAUCGGAGGGAGAAGACUCCGAAAGUGAAGGAGAGGAGUUGGCAAGGCCUCCCUCUCCAGGACCCUCCUCUCUGGCAAUGCCUCAGGUGUCUCCCGAAGGAGAAGAGAUAGGCCAGGAGCCAGGCAUCUCCGAGCAGCUGCAGUUAGACUUCAACGGAGAUAAGUCUCGGCUGGAUCCCCACCAGCGUCGGAAAGACAAGCACAAGCAGCAGAGAAGGAGGCGUGCCAGAGAUUAAGCUGAGUCACUGGACCACACCCCACAGGGGAUAAAAGGGGGUGUGGUGGCCAUUCAGGCUUUGUGACGGACAAAACUGAACAGCUAGCAAGUCAUACUGUGUCUCUGGAACUUUGUUAUCUGCUUUCCUUGGAUUUAUUAUGGACUGGACUUGACAAUUCUUUGGCUUUGUGAAUUUAUUUUGGUUUAUCUGACGGAGGAGGAACACUUCCCUCUGUGAGUAAAGUUUUUGGCAAGCAGCUACUGGGUUGCUGCCAAUUCUGUUA